rnacentral:rRNA from 1 species
AACCAGACUCCUACGGGAGGCAGCAGUGGGGAAUAUUGCACAAUGGGGGAAACCCUGAUGCAGCGACGCCGCGUGAGUGAAGAAGUAUUUCGGUAUGUAAAGCCCUAUCGGCAGGGAAGAAGCAAGACGGUACCUGACUAAGAAGCCCCGGCUAACUACGUGCCAGCAGCCGCGGUAAUACGUAGGGGGCGAGCGUUAUCCGGAUUCCCUGGGGGUAAAGGGAGGGUAGACGGCCAAGCAAGCCAGGGGUGAAAGGCCGGGGGCCAACCCCGGGACUGCCCUUGGAACUGCUUGGCUGGAGUGCGGGAGGGGCAGGCGGAAUUCCUGGUGUAGCGGUGAAAUGCGUAGAUAUCAGGAGGAACACCGGCGGCGAAGGCGGCCUGCUGGACCGCUACUGACGUUGAGGCUCGAAAGCGUGGGGAGCAAACAGGAUUAGAUACCCGUGUAU